CAUGGAUGUAACCUCUUGAAGCUACUUUCCUUUUUAAGUAAACUGAGCUUGAAGAUUUUGGGUAAGUUAGUUUACUGGCUAAUUAUUAAUGUCAGAAGAGGGACUGCUAAGUAGGGGAACUAAAAUCAGAACCGAGACACCCUUUAGUGCCCAGAUGUAAAAGGAGGAGGUAUUUUUUAGGGAUUUACAUCUAGAGAUUUAUUUUGGAUUCAUACAAAUAAGGCUAUUCUGCCAUGGGAAUUAGCACCGUCAUGAACGGCUCCACGCCAGAGCCACCAAGCCUCGGACCUCGGCCUUUCCCCUCCUGACCAGGACACUCGCUCCGAUGGGUCACCUGCGAGCACACCUCUGAUAGCAGUCAAGGCGCCCGUUUCCGCCGGCAGUCCAUGAACCUCAACCGCCACCAGCGCAAAGCAUCAGUCACUUCCAUCAGCCCUGGGAUGAUUUCCACCGAGGCACCAGAUAAAACACUCAGCGCACACACGCUACGUUUCUCAGCCGCCGUGUGUCCUGCUGCAGGUGAUAGGAGCCGAACACGAGGUACACGAGUCAGCAGAACGCAGCCGGCAAAUGAGAAUCGGAGCAGUAGGACGUGGUGCCCGCUCACCCCGCACGCUUCCCCGUGGCUCCGGGCGGCCUCCAGCUUCCCCGGAUGA
rnacentral:lncRNA from 12 species